GAUGAAGAACGUAGCGAAAUGCGAUAAGUAAUGUGAAUUGCAGAAUUCAGUGAAUCAUCGAAUCUUUGAACGCACAUUGCGCCCGCCAGUAUUCUGGCGGGCAUGCCUGUUCGAGCGUCAUUUCAACCCUCAAGCCCCCGGGCUUGGUGUUGGGGAUCGGCGUGCCCUCGCGGCGCGCCGUCCCCUAAAUCUAGUGGCGGUCUCGCUGUAGCUUCCCCUGCGUAGUAGCAACACUCGCACUGGAUCGCAGCGCGGCCACGCCGUUAAACCCCCCACUUCUGAAAGUUUGACCUCGGAUCAGGUAGGAAUACCCGCUGAACUUAAGCAUAUCAAUAAGCGGAGGA
rnacentral:misc_RNA from 1 species